rnacentral:rRNA from 1 species
AUUGAACGCUGGCGGCAGGCCUAACACAUGCAAGUCGAGCGGAUGAAGGGAGCUUGCUCCUGGAUUCAGCGGCGGACGGGUGAGUAAUGCCUAGGAAUCUGCCUGGUAGUGGGGGAUAACGUCCGGAAACGGGCGCUAAUACCGCAUACGUCCUGAGGGCGUACGUGGGGGAUCUUCGGACCUUACGCUAUCAGACGAGCCUAGGUCGGAUUAGCUAGUUGGUGGGGUAAAGGCCUACCAAGGCGACGAUCCGUAACUGGUCUGAGAGGAUGAUCAGUCACACUGGAACUGAGACACGGUCCAGACUCCUACGGGAGGCAGCAGUGGGGAAUAUUGGACAAUGGGCGAAAGCCUGAUCCAGCCAUGCCGCGUGUGUGAAGAAGGUCUUCGGAUUGUAAAGCACUUUUAUUUGGAAAGAAGAGCAGUAAGUUAAUACCUUGCUGUUUUGACGUUACCAACAGAAUAAGCACCGGCUAACUUCGUG